AGGCUCCAGGGCUUUCUGGGCUAUAAAACCCACAGCUCUUAACAUUGUGACCAAAGAUUGAAGUUCUUCACAGAGAAAAUCCUGCACUGCUUUGAUAGUGCUGUGUUUUUCUGAGAGAAGAUAACGUG
ensembl:snoRNA Gm22765 predicted gene, 22765